rnacentral:lncRNA from 1 species
UUUUUUUUAAAUUUAUUAUUAUUAUUUUUUAGUUGUAGAUGGACACAACAUCUUUCUUUCUUUAUUUUUAAGUGGUGCUGAGGAUCAAACCCAGGGCCUCACACAGCUAGGCCAGUGCUCUACCACUGAGCCACAAUCCCAGCCCUCCCUGGAGUCAUUCUUAACCAAAAUUUUCUUUAUUAUGUUUUCUACUUACAAAUUCCUAUGUUCAUGAUAACCCCCUACCAAUUAACCCCUAGUUAACUACUAUUAAUUUUCACCAAAUUACCUAUCUACUUGUAUGCUUUGAUUUUUCCUGCCUGCUCCACAAUCUACUUAUGGUAGUAGUGGCUUAAAAUUCCACUUGUGACUCUUGCCUUUAUCUCAUUUGUAGAUUGCUGAUUUCUUAAAAUAAUAGAUUUAAAACUUGAUACUUUGAAGGAUUCUAGUUUUUUAUUUUUUUAUUUUGUGUGUGUGUGUGUGUGUGUGUUUUACCCAAAACAGAAUUUACAGUUCUACUUAUCUUUAAUAAGCUCUUUGCCCAGCUGUCUCUAUUGAAUGGAUUGCUUCUUCCUGAGAUGGAGCUGCCUGUUCUACCAUUAUCAAGUUUAGUAACUAGAGAGUAGUGGAGCUGAAACAUAUCUUGCUUAUCUACUCCUUUUCCCCUCUUAAUUCUACUCUUUGGAACAAUAUGGGAGACAUCAGUUUUCAAUAUGGCAGCUUUUUAAAGAUUUGAAAAGUUUGGGGUUUCUUUUUGUUAGCUAUUUGUCUAAGCUUUCUCUUUACUUCAACAUUGUCCAAUGGAACUUUCCGCCAAGGUGGAAAUGCUCUCUCCCAUGUGAGCCACAUGUGACUCUUAAACAUUUGUAAUGUGCCUAGUGAGACUGAGGAACUGUAUUUUAAAAUUGUAUUUAAUUUUAAUUUAGCUAGCCCCAUGAGUCCAGUGGCUUCUGUGUUAGUACAGCUCUGACUCUCUGGGAGUUAGUAUUUGUCACACAGUUCUCUUCUUGGCCACUUCAUAAAUCUUAUAAAGCAUGGUAAAAAUGUGUAACUUGCUCUUGAAGUUACUGUCUUCUGAGGCCAUCUCACAUUAUGCAACUGAGAAAUAGCUCAAACUCAACUCCCAAAGCCCUGAUGAAUAAUGUCAAAUUUACCAAAGUUUUCUUAGAAGGGCAAGAAGGCAAGAUUGUAGCUCACAUCCCAUACCCCAAAAGAAGAACUUAAAAAUGUCUUCAUUGAAUAUCUGUCUUUUCCUAGAGUCCCAUUCCCUAGUGGCUCCCAUACUGGCUACCAAAUCACCCCUCUCUUCUCUCCUUCUCUUCUUUAUCAAAAGAAAUUCUUUUUCUCAUUGAGCUUUGCCUGUCCAUUUUCUUUAAGCACCACCAUUUGCCCUCUUCCCUUCU